CACGUAGGGUGCAAGCGUUGUCCGGAAUUAUUGGGCGUAAAGAGCUUGUAGGCGGUUUGUCGCGUCUGCUGUGAAAAUCCGGGGCUCAACCCCGGACUUGCAGUGGGUACGGGCAGACUAGAGUGUGGUAGGGGAGACUGGAAUUCCUGGUGUAGCGGUGAAAUGCGCAGAUAUCAGGAGGAACACCGAUGGCGAAGGCAGGUCUCUGGGCCACUACUGACGCUGAGAAGCGAAAGCAUGGGGAGCGAACAGG
rnacentral:rRNA from 1 species